rnacentral:misc_RNA from 1 species
GUGAAUCAUCGAAUCUUUGAACGCAAAUUGCACUUUCUGGUAUUCCGGAAAGUAUGCCUGUUUGGGGGGCAGUUAAAUAAAAAUCGGGGUUGUUGUUGCCUUUCGUGGUGACGCGUCGUACUUGAGUCGUCUUACUUUCGGUUAAGCUUCUUAAAAUUUUUGCAUGAUUUUCUAACGUAUUGUAAUCGUUUACGUACGUUUGAUAUAUCGAAUGCUUUUUAUGUUCGUU